rnacentral:lncRNA from 1 species
AUAUGUUAGAAAGCGAUUAACUGUUUAAAAUGCUUAAUUACUUAAGUAAUUAAAACACUGCAGUAAAUGAGUUGGAUAAUACUUAAAACUAAGAUUUCAAUAAUUGUUUUUCAAAGUUUUCACUUGCACAGAUCUAAUUUCGUUUCACGUGGAUAAUAUCUGGCAGAUAUAGUCAAACGAAUGAAUGUGAAAACGACGGGAAAAAUCCUCGAAACAACCAUGGCGUUUCAUCACGUUUCCUUAUUCAAGCAUUCUAAUGUGUUUUUUUACCGAAGUCUUUUUGAGUAUAUUUAUAUAUUAUUGUUUUAUUCAAGUAUUCGAUUAAAUUAUACAGGUUUUUA